rnacentral:rRNA from 1 species
UGGGGAAUAUUGGACAAUGGGCGAAAGCCUGAUCCAGCCAUGCCGCGUGUGUGAAGAAGGUCUUCGGAUUGUAAAGCACUUUAAGUUGGGAGGAAGGGCAGUAAGCGAAUACCUUGCUGUUUUGACGUUACCGACAGAAUAAGCACCGGCUAACUCUGUGCCAGCAGCCGCGGUAAUACAGAGGGUGCAAGCGUUAAUCGGAAUUACUGGGCGUAAAGCGCGCGUAGGUGGUUCGUUAAGUUGAAUGUGAAAGCCCCGGGCUCAACCUGGGAACUGCAUCCAAAACUGGCGAGCUAGAGUAGGGCAGAGGGUGGUGGAAUUUCCUGUGUAGCGGUGAAAUGCGUAGAUAUAGGAAGGAACACCAGUGGCGAAGGCGACCACCUGGGCUCAUACUGACACUGAGGUGCGAAAGCGGGGGGAGCAAACAGGA